CUUAGUUUUGUGAAAACUAGUAAAUUCAUAAAACUGCUAUUCUAAAAGAAGGUGAAAGUUCUAGACAUGGAACAUGAAAAAUGAAAAAAAUGCAGACAUGGAAAAAUGCAGGCAUUCAAGGAGUCAACAGUUGAAAUCUGUGGCUGAUGAAGUACAGGGGGGUAGCUGAGUCUGGAAGAGACAGCCCAGCAAAACAGAUUUAUUCUUUCAGUGACAGACACUCAGAAGAAGCUACUUCAUUUAAUGGUUAGCUGAUGACCAAAAACUCAACAACCUGAACCGUGGUCAAACGCUCACAGCCAUUACCCACUCUGAAAGCUCCUGUCUGCCAUGCCGGUUUCGCCUUUUUUCAUAGGACACCGCUUACUCUGUUGCCUAGUGUUCCCGUCCAAACCUUUCUUGCCGUCCUCUUCCACCAGUCUGUAAUCUUCAUCCUCUCUGCAAUUUUCCCUGAUCACAGUCCAGUGUUCAAUUACGUUUUUCCUUCUCUGAGUUCCUUGACACAGCUUAACUCCUGUGUAAGCAGUGUUUUAUGAAUGA
rnacentral:lncRNA from 1 species